rnacentral:lncRNA from 1 species
CCAUAACCAAUCCUCAUGCACAAACACUACUUUCAGAUCUUAAAUCAAAAUUUUCAGAUCUAAAUUCUUUGCAUAAAGAAAAAAUUUUGAUCUCAAAAUAAUUUCAGAUCAGGCAUAUAAAUAUGUAUCACAUACAUAAACAAGUUCAGAUCAUAGAAAUAAAUUUCAGUCCUAAAUAUAUUUUUAUAUAUUAUAUAUAUGAAAUAAAAUAAAUCUCAAAAUUCUU